rnacentral:rRNA from 1 species
CGUAACACGUGGGUAAUCAACCCUUUGGUCUGGACAACCUCGGGAAACCGGGCUAAUACCGGAUGAGUCAUCAGAGUCCUCGGGCUUUGAUGGGAAAGACCCGCAAGGGUCGCAGGACGAGCUCGCGGCCCAUCAGCUUGAUGGUGAGGUAAAAGCUCACCAUGGCUUAGACGGGUAGCUGGUCUGAGAGGAUGAUCAGCCACACUGGAACUGAGACACGGUCCAG